CUAAUUAAUGUGCCUAGUUACUCCAUCUAAUGAUGAUUAAUUGUUCUUCUAGUCUACUUACUUCAUUUGUCUUUGUUGUAUCCACUUCUACCGCCACCAACUAUUUGUGUCAAAGAGAAGAUGCCAAUGAGGGGAAGAGAAGAUGGCAAUGACGAGCAACGCCGUCUCUCUCAAAAAUAAAAAGCUUCAAAAUCUGAUUUUUGGAUCGUUUUCCCGGUAAU
rnacentral:misc_RNA from 1 species